UAGGAGGGUUGUUGGUUGUUAUUCUCCAUCAAGAAUCUCUCUUCAAUUACCAAACUGUUGGCUCAAAUGAUAUUUUCUGAUACUGAUUUUUCUUGAGCACUAAUGUUCCUCCCUUUGUACUGAUCAACAGUUUUUUAUUUCUGGUGCAGGCUGAUAUAGGAGGUGUCUGAUUCUUGAAAGAAAGAGAGGUCUUUUUUAAGGUUCUCAGGUUCAAUUAUUUAUUUAUUUAUUCAGUUGACAGGAAAAUUCUUGUGCGGGCUGAUAUAAGAAGAGAGGCAUUACCUUCUUUUUAUAGGUAGGGAGUAUCUGGUUCUUGGGGGAAAAGAGAGAGGGUCUUUUUGAGCUUCUCAGGUUCAAAUUCUUGGGAGAAAGAGGUGGUCUUUUUGAGGUUCUCAGGUUCAAAUUCUUUUCAAAGAGAAUAAAGAGCAGGUGCCUGCCCUAUUGUAUAUCGAAAAUGAGUUGGAACAAAGAGAGGAAAUGGGUAUGGAAUUUUUGAGCACAAGGGUCUCCUUCGCUCCGAGAAGAAACGAGUUUUCGCACAGAUUUGGCUCGAGACUGAUCAAGAGACGGUAGAGAAAGCAAAAUGUGGGCAAUGAGGAUGCAAGCGAGGACACGCAGUUAUUUGAAGAUGAAAGUGGAUGAGCUUCAAGUUUUGAGGAGGAGAGUGGAGAGGUGGAUAGAAAGAGGAGACGGAAAGGGGAUAAGAUUUGUGAUCUAAUUUUGAGAACCUUAUCCUGCUGCUAAGCUUGUGUGAUACUUUUUUAUGGCUGCUUUGAUUUGAACAGUUGAGGUGAGAAAAAAGAAGAGUGAUAUAUAUAAGAAUGAAAGAUACAGAAGUCCAGAGAGAAAAUAUUUUGUGAGUAGAUAGUGAGAUUUGCUCAAUGUUGAGAUUGUAGUUUGUGAUGAGAUUUGACUUUGUCCGGAAAGGAAAUUGAAAUUGUCCUUCAGGUGCUGUUUGUGGGCGGUGGGCUCAGCGGGAGUCUUGGAGAUUGAGAGUUAAAUGGACGUAAAAUAUUUAAAUUGCUUUUUCCCCCACAAGAAAAAACUUAUUAUUUUCUGCA